rnacentral:rRNA from 1 species
GUGGGGAAUCUUGCGCAAUGGGCGAAAGCCUGACGCAGCCAUGCCGCGUGAAUGAUGAAGGUCUUAGGAUUGUAAAAUUCUUUCACCGGGGACGAUAAUGACGGUACCCGGAGAAGAAGCUCCGGCUAACUUCGUGCCAGCAGCCGCGGUAAUACGAAGGGGGCUAGCAUUGCUCGGAAUUACUGGGCGUAAAGGGCGCGUAGGCGGACAGCUUAGUCAGAGGUGAAAGCCCAGGGCUCAACCUUGGAAUUGCCUUUGAUACUGGCUGUCUUGAGUUUGGGAGAGGUGAGUGGAACUCCGAGUGUAGAGGUGAAAUUCGUAGAUAUUCGGAAGAACACCAGUGGCGAAGGCGACUCACUGGCCCAAUACUGACGCUGAGGCGCGAAAGCGUGGGGAGCAAACAGGAUUAGAUACCCCGGUAGUCC